GACGAACGCUGGCGGCGUGCUUAACACAUGCAGUCGCACGGAAAGGCCCUGCUUUUGUGGGGUGCUCGGGUGGCGAACGGGUAAGUAACACGUGAGUAACCUGCCCUUGACUUUGGGAUAACUUCAGGAAACUGGGGCUAAUACCGGAUAGGAGCUCCUGCUGCAUGGUGGGGGUUGGAAAGUUUCGGCGGUUGGGGAUGGACUCGCGGCUUAUCAGCUUGUUGGGGGGGUAGUGGCUUACCAAGGCUUUGACGGGUAGCCGGCCUGGGAGGGUGACCGGCCACAUUGGGACUGAGAUACGGCCCAGACUCCUACGGGAGGCAGCAGUGGGGAAUAUUGCACAAUGGGCGGAAGCCUGAUGCAGCAACGCCGCGUGCGGGAUGACGGCCUUCGGGUUGUAAACCGCUUUCGCCUGUGACGAAGCGUGAGUGACGGUAAUGGGUAAAGAAGCACCGGCUAACUACGUG
rnacentral:rRNA from 1 species